rnacentral:lncRNA from 1 species
CAGAACCAAAGAAACUGCCAAAGGCUCUUUCUCUGUCUAACACCCAUUACACAAUGCAACAUUGUUUGUCAAGCUAUUGAGUUCUUUAUCUGGCUGUACAGUGCCAAUCUCCAUGAAUUCAGGGACUCUGUGGAUAAUCAUCUUUCAAGAUAAGGAUCUUUUGGAAGAACGUGUUGGUUCAGGUGACCUAAGUUGCGAUCCCAACUCUUCCUCUUCCUGGCUCUGUGAGGGCUGGUCAGAACCCCUGUAGAUGUCCCACUACUGCCCUGGUGAGAGGCUGCCUUUCUAGAGUCCUUGUGGUUGCGCACGAUUCAGUAGACUCUACCUUUCCCUGGCAUCCAGAAAAAUGCCUUAUGUUUUUGGGUGGACACUGAAACUCCAGUCCUGGCCACAAGACCGCCAGGGCCACGGAGGCCCUCAGCCUGUAAGCAUACCGCUCUAGUGUUGAGUAACUUCAUUUGUAUAAUUCCCUUUUGAGAUCAGCCAUAUAUUAAAAUGUUUUGGUUGUAUUUUAGAAUUUCUAAUUUUCUAAGAGUUGGAGGGGAUGCAUUGUCAGAUCAGGCAAACUUGUUGUUAUAACUUAUAUAGAAUUUUAAAAAUGUAAGUUAGAGGUACUUCGUGCACUGUAAAAUUCAUCCCUAAAAUAAAUAUCCCCUAAACAAAUUUUUUUACGUAUUA